rfam:Salmo salar isolate Sally breed double haploid chromosome ssa02, whole genome shotgun sequence.
GAAUGUACUUACUGUAAUUCGCUCUGGAUAAGAGCAUCUGCUAAAUGACUAAAA